rnacentral:rRNA from 1 species
GAACCAACAGGGAUUGCCUCAGUAACGGCGAGUGAAGCGGCAACAGCUCAAAUUUGAAAUCUGGCCCCUUCGGGGUCCGAGUUGUAAUUUGUAGAAGAUGCUUCGGGUGCGGCCCCGGUCUAAGUUCCUUGGAACAGGACGUCACAGAGGGUGAGAAUCCCGUACGUGCCCGGUGGUCGCCCCCAUGUGAAGCUCUUUCGACGAGUCGAGUUGUUUGGGAAUGCAGCUCAAAAUGGGUGGUAAAUUUCAUCUAAAGCUAAAUAUUGGCCAGAGACCGAUAGCGCACAAGUAGAGUGAUCGAAAGAUGAAAAGCACUUUGGAAAGAGAGUUAAACAGUACGUGAAAUUGUUGAAAGGGAAGCGCUUGCAACCAGACUUGCGCGUGGCCGAUCAUCCGGUGUUCGCACCGGUGCACUCGACCGCGCGCAGGCCAGCAUCGGUUUGGGUGGCUGGAUAAAGGCCUCGGGAAUGUGGCUCCCCUCGGGGAGUGUUAUAGCCCGAGGUGCAAUGCAGCCUACCCGGACCGAGGACCGCGCUUCGGCUAGGAUGCUGGCGUAAUGGUUGUAAGCCACCCGU